rnacentral:ncRNA from 1 species
GACCAUCUCGAGCAGCUGAAGCUCCAAUGUGGUGGAUUCAUAUUUUCUCCUCGGACCUUGAAAAUUUAUGGUGGGGACACGCAAACUUCUCAACAGGCCGUACCAAUAUCCGCAGCUGGUCUCCAAGGUGAAGAGUCUCUAGUCGAUAGAAUAAUGUAGGUAAGGGAAGUCGGCAAAUUAGAUCCGUAACUUCGGGAUAAGGAUUGGCUCUGAAGAUUGAGAUAGUCGGGCUUGAUUGGGAAACAAUAACAUGGUUUAUGUGCUCGUUCUGGGUAAAUAGAGUUUCUAGCAUUUAUGUUAGUUACUUGUUCCCCGGAUAGUUUAGUUACGUAGCCAAUUGUGGAACUUUCUUGCUAAAAUUUUUAAGAAUACUAUUUGGGUUAAACCAAUUAGUUCUUAUCAAUUAUAACGAUUAUCAAUUAACAAUCAAUUCAGAACUGGCACGGACUUGGGGAAUCCGACUGUCUAAUUAAAACAAAGCAUUGUGAUGGCCCUAGCGGGUGUUGACACAAUGUGAUUUCUGCCCAGUGCUCUGAAUGUCAAAGUGAAGAAAUUCAAGUAAGCGCGGGUCAACGGCGGGAGUAACUAUGACUCUCUUAAGGUAGCCAAAUGCCUCGUCAUCUAAUUAGUGACGCGCAUGAAUGGAUUAACGAGAUUCCUACUGUCCCUAUCUACUAUCUAGCGAAAACCCAGCCAAGGGAACGGGCUUGGAAUAAUUAG